CAAAUACUCCCUCCGUCCAGAAAUACUUGUCGAAGAAAUGCAUAAAAAUGAAUGUAUCUAGAACUAAAUACAUCUAGAUACAUCCAUUCCUCCGACGAGUAUUUCCGGACAGAGGGAGUAUUUA
rnacentral:pre_miRNA from 1 species